rnacentral:rRNA from 1 species
GAGGAGAGUGACGGGCGAGGGUAGACUAGGCAUUGAUACCCUAUUAUUUAAAAUGUAAAAUUUUAUUUAGCUUGAGUAGUAUUAGUUAUGUUCUUGAAACUCAAAGAAUUUGGCGGUGUUUUAGUCUUUUCAGAGGAAUCUGUCCCUUAAAUGAUAAUACACGAUUAACUUUACCAUUAUUUUGUAAUUUCAGUAUGUAUACCGCCGUCAUCAGUUUAUCUUUUAAGAGUUAAAAAUUUUCUUUUCUUUUAAUUAUACAAUAUGUCAGGUCAAGGUGCAGCUUAUAGUAUGGUGGUGAUGGAUUACAAUAAAUUUAUUUAUAUGGAAUAUUAUAUGAAAAAUUGAUAUGAAGGUGGAUUUGUAAGUAAUUUUAUUAAUUUUAUUAAAUUGAUUUUAGCUCUAAAAUAUGUACACAUCGCCGAUCACUCUCA